UUAAGUAAGGAAGGGCGUACGGCGAAUGCCUUGCCACUCGAAACUGAAGAAGGACGCGCCAAACUGCGAAAAGCUCCGUGAAGCUGUAAGGAAGCGAAGAAGCGGAGGUGUCCGAAUGGGGGAACCCGGCAGCAGACAUGAGCUGUCAUCUGCAGGUGAAUACAUGGCCUGCAAGAGAGGUACCCGGCGAACUGAAACAUCUAAGUAGCCGGAGGAAAAGAAAACAACAGUGAUUCCCUGAGUAGCGGCGAGCGAAAGGGGAGAAGCCCAAACCGGUUGAAGGACCGGGGUUGAAGGACCAUGACAUGGCAAGAACGAGGAUAGGAGAACGGGAUCGAAAGCCCGGCCGAAGAAGGUGAAAGCCCUGUAACCGAAAUCCGAGUAAAGCCUAAUGGGAUCCUGAGUACGGCGAGACACGAGAAAUCUUGUCGGAAGCAGGCGGGACCAUCCGCCAAGGCUAAAUAUAAACGAGUGAGCGAUAGUGAACCAGUACCGUGAGGGAAAGGUGAAAAGAACCGCGGGAGCGGAGUGAAAGAGAACCUGAAACCGUAUGCCUACAAGAAGUCAGAGCCCGUUAAGGGGUGAUGGCGUGCCUUUUGUAGAAUGAACCGGCGAGUUGCGACAGACUGCGAGGUUAAGGAGGAAAGACCGGAGCCGAAGCGAAAGCGAGUCUUAAGAGGGCGAAAGUAGGAUGUUGCAGACCCGAAACCGGGUGAUCUAGCCAUGAGCAGGUUGAAGUUGAGGUGAAACUCAAUGGAGGACCGAACCGACUACCGUUGAAAAGUUAGCGGAUGACUUGUGGCUAGGGGAGAAAUUCCAAUCGAACCCGGAGAUAGCUGGUUCUCCCCGAAAUAGCUUUAGGGCUAGCGUCGGAAAGAACCUUAGUGAAGGUAGAGCACUGAAUGUGUGAUGGCCCCAUCCCGGGGUACUGAAUACAAUCAAACUGCGAAUGUCAUUAAGGAUGUCCGGCAGUCAGACUGUGAGUGAUAAGGUCCAUGGUCAAGAGGGAAACAGCCCAGACCGCCAGUUAAGGUCCCAAAAUACAGGCUAAGUGGAAAAGGAUGUGGGGAUGCCCAGACAACUAGGAGGUUGGCUCAGAAGCAGCCAUCCUUUAAAGAGUGCGUAACAGCUCACUAGUCGAGUGACCCUGCGCCGAAAAUGUACCGGGGCUAAGCCUGAUACCGAAACUGCGGAUUGUAGGAAACUAUAGUGGUAGGGGAGCGUUGUAUACGAGCAGAAGCCGUACCGUGAGGAGCGGUGGAUUGUAUAGAAGUGAGAAUGCCGGUGUGAGUAGCGAGAUGUAGGUGAGAAUCCUACACACCGAAAGCCCAAGGAUUCCAGGGGAAGGUUCGUCCGCCCUGGGUAAGUCGGGACCUAACGCGAGGCCGAAAGGCGUAGUGGAUGGAAAGCAGGCGAAAGAUUCCUGCACCCGUAUAUGGAGCGAAGGAGUGACGGAGACGGAUAGUGUGACCCUCUUAAUGGAUUGAGGGCGAAGCGAAGCGGCUGGUUACCAGGCAAAUCCGGUAACCAUAAGGCUAGAGCGUGACAGGUAAGCGAAAUCUUAGGAAAGUAGCGAAGCACAUGAUGACGGCUUCCAGGAAAAGCUUCUGGCAAUGCAUAUGCGGCCCGUACCAAAACCGACACAGGUGGGCAGGGAGAGAAUCCCGAGGUGAGCGAGAGAACUGUUGCCAAGGAACUCGGCAAAAUGACUCCGUAAGUUAGCGAGAAGGAGUGCUUAAGCAAUUAAGCCGCAGUGAAGAGGCCCAAGCGACUGUUUAACUAAAACACAGCUCUCUGCGAAGUCGCAAGACGAAGUAUAGGGGGUGACACCUGCCCGGUGCUGGAAGGUUAAGAGGAUCUGUUAAGAGCGAUCUGAAGCAGUGAUCCGAAGCCCCAGUGAACGGCGGCCGUAACUAUAACGGUCCUAAGUAAGCGAAAUUCCUUGUCGGGUAAGUUCCGACCCGCACGAAAGGCGUAACGAUUUGGGCGCUGUCUCGGCAGCAGACUCGGUGAAAUCUUAGUACCUGUGAAAAUGCAGGUUACCCGCAACUAGACGGAAAGACCCCAUGGAGCUUUACUGCAGCCUGAUAUUGAAUUCUGGUCAUACAUGUACAGGAUAGGUGGGAGACAAAGAGACGUGCACGCCAGUGUACGAGGAGUCGACGUUGGGAUACCACUCUUGUGUGACCGGGGUUCUAACCUGGUAUCGAGAACAGGUACGGGGAGAGUGUCAGGUGGGCAGUUUGACUGGGGCGGUCGCCUCCCAAAGAGUAACGGAGGCGCCCAAAGGUACGCUCAGAUUGGAUGGAAACCAAUCGUCGAGUGCAAUUGCAGAAGCGUGCUUGACUGUGAGACAGACAAGUCGAACAGGGACGAAAGUCGGGAAUAGUGAUCCGGCGGUGCCGAAUGGAAGGGCCGUCGCUCAACGGAUAAAAGCUACCCUGGGGAUAACAGGC
rnacentral:rRNA from 1 species